rnacentral:rRNA from 1 species
GACGAACGCUGGCGGCGUGCCUAAUACAUGCAAGUCGAGCGGACAGAAGGGAGCUUGCUCCCGGAUGUUAGCGGCGGACGGGUGAGUAACACGUGGGUAACCUGCCUGUAAGACUGGGAUAACUCCGGGAAACCGGAGCUAAUACCGGAUAGUUCCUUGAACCGCAUGGUUCAAGGAUGAAAGACGGUUUUGGGUGUCACUUACAGAUGGACCCGCGGCGCAUUAGCUAGUUGGUGAGGUAACGGCUCACCAAGGCGACGAUGGGUAGCCGACCUGAGAGGGUGAUCGGCCACACUGGGACUGAGACACGGCCCAGACUCCUACGGGAGGCAGCAGUAGGGAAUCUUCCGCAAUGGACGAAAGUCUGACGGAGCAACGCCGCGUGAGUGAUGAAGGUUUUCGGAUCGUAAAGCUCUGUUGUUAGGGAAGAACAAGUGCAAGAGUAACUGCUUGCACCUUGACGGUACCUAACCAGAAAGCCACGGCUAACUACGUGCCAGCCGCCGCAGUAAUAC